rnacentral:rRNA from 1 species
UACGGAGGGUGCAAGCGUUAAUCGGAAUUACUGGGCGUAAAGCGCAUGCAGGCGGCUUUUCAAGUCAGGGGUGAAAUCCCGGGGCUCAACCUCGGAACUGCAUUUGAAACUGGUGAACUAGAGUACUGUAGAGGGGGGUAGAAUUUCAGGUGUAGCGGUGAAAUGCGUAGAGAUCUGAAGGAAUACCAGUGGCGAAGGCGGCCCCCUGGACAGAUACUGACACUCAGAUGCGAAAGCGUGGGGAGCAAACAGG